CGGUAUUCAGUGAUGUGGCAAAUGUGUGAAAAGUGUGAGAUAUUUUCAUGAUUGUUCGAAUCGGAUUUCAGUUCGGAGCGGCAGAGAGGAGUGAGCAGGAGAAAGAGCGUGAAAACCUAUUGAUACUAUAUUUCUGUAUAAUACGAAUUCCCAAUUUAUAUACACAAAGUUCAUAGCGCCGAAGAUGUCAAACUGUCAAGCGAAUACGAAGCACUCCUCCCGCCUCCAAUGGGACCAAUGCUAACAAAUACAUGUGUGCAGCUAUCUGUGUGUGUUUGUGUGUGUGUUGACGUUGGUUCAUACACUAAAUAAGAGAAUGUUACCCAGAUACUUAGAAAAACUUUCUUCAAUUAGGUAAUGCCUGGCAAAGAAAUAUCUGACCUGCUUGCAGGGUAUCUUAUCUCAACAUAAAUUGUUGCUUUCUCAAUUGCCAAUAUAAAAAACCAAAGCCGCACUCAGAAACAUAAUGCUAAAUGCUCGGCAUAAAGCUCGGUUUGGACAUAAAUUUUUCUUUCUGCAUUUUGACAGAAGUUCUUAUACCCUGCACGCGCAUUAAAUGGAUAUGUAGGUUAAAACAUACUGCUUUUCUCGAGAAGAAGCUAGGUGAAAUUAUAUAAAAAACACUAAUUUUUGAAAAUUAUUAUUUUAUCAGUUUCGUCUUAAUAUAGCUGCAUGUAUAUAUAUAAUAAUAUAUUUUACAAGUGAGAAUGUCCGAUUAGGAGAUGGAACCCAAUUAUUAGUGUAACUUUUACAUUUGUGUCACCUAUUUUUCCACCUGUCCAACUGAUCAACUUGAAUCUCUAAAACCUGGAAAAGACUCUUACUAUGGUUUCUCUAGCCAACUUUAUAUAGAAGUAAAUAAUUGAGUGGAUUUUAAUAUCGAAAUCUAAGAUAAUUCAUUUGAAUUUUUUUGAUAUGCGUCGAAUUUAAUAUUUUCCUGCUCCUCUGUUUUGGAUUUUAUUUG